GCUGGGCGUCAUGGCAGGUGCCUGUAAUCCCAGCUACUUAGGAGGCUGAGGCAGGAGAAUUGCUUGAACCUGGGAGGCGGAGGUUGCAGUGAGCUGAGACUGCUCCACUGCACUCCGACCUGGGUGACAGAGCGAGACUCUGUCUCUU
rnacentral:SRP_RNA from 1 species